AUAAUGGGUCAGCGACUUAUAUUCUGUAGCAAGGUUAACCGAAUAGGGGAGCCGAAGGGAAACCGAGUCUUAACUGGGCGUUAAGUUGCAGGGUAUAGACCCGAAACCCGGUGAUCUAGCCAUGGGCAGGUUGAAGGUUGGGUAACACUAACUGGAGGACCGAACCGACUAAUGUUGAAAAAUUAGCGGAUGACUUGUGGCUGGGGGUGAAAGGCCAAUCAAACCGGGAGAUAGCUGGUUCUCCCCGAAAGCUAUUUAGGUAGCGCCUCGUGAAUUCAUCUCCGGGGGUAGAGCACUGUUUCGGCAAGGGGGUCAUCCCGACUUACCAACCCGAUGCAAACUGCGAAUACCGGAGAAUGUUAUCACGGGAGACACACGGCGGGUGCUAACGUCCGUCGUGAAGAGGGAAACAACCCAGACCGCCAGCUAAGGUCCCAAAGUCAUGGUUAAGUGGGAAACGAUGUGGGAAGGCCCAGACAGCCAGGAUGUUGGCUUAGAAGCAGCCAUCAUUUAAAGAAAGCGUAAUAGCUCACUGGUCGAGUCGGCCUGCGCGGAAGAUGUAACGGGGCUAAACCAUGCACCGAAGCUGCGGCAGCGACGCUUAUGCGUUGUUGGGUAGGGGAGCGUUCUGUAAGCCUGUGAAGGUGUGCUGUGAGGCAUGCUGGAGGUAUCAGAAGUGCG
rnacentral:rRNA from 1 species